rnacentral:rRNA from 1 species
AACGAACGCUGGCGGCAUGCCUAACACAUGCAAGUCGAACGAGACCUUCGGGUCUAGUGGCGCACGGGUACGUAACGCGUGGGAACCUGCCCUUAGGUUCGGAAUAACUCUCCGAAAGGGGUGCUAAUACCGGAUAAUGUCUUCGGACCAAAGAUUUAUCGCCUUUGGAUGGGCCCGCGUUGGAUUAGCUAGUUGGUAGGGUAAAAGCCUACCAAGGCGACGAUCCAUAGCUGGUCUGAGAGGAUGAUCAGCCACACUGGGACUGAGACACGGCCCAGACUCCUACGGGAGGCAGCAGUGGGGAAUAUUGGACAAUGGGCGAAGGCCUGAUCCAGCAAUGCCGCGUGAGUGAUGAAGGCCUUAGGGUUGUAAAGCUCUUUUACCCGGGAUGAUAAUGACAGUACCGGAAGAAUAAGCUCCGGCUAACUCCGUG